AUUUAAAUAGUUUAAGAAAAAAUUUUGGUUUGUGGAUCCAAAGAUAUAAUUUUAUUAUUUUAAAUA
rnacentral:tRNA from 1 species